rnacentral:rRNA from 1 species
GACGAACGCUGGCGGCGCGCCUAACACAUGCAAGUCGAACGAGCAAGAGAGAGCUUGCUUUCUCGAGCGAGUGGCGAACGGGUGAGUAACGCGUGAGGAACCUGCCUCAAAGAGGGGGACAACAGUUGGAAACGACUGCUAAUACCGCAUAAGCCCACGGUGCCGCAUGGCACAGAGGGAAAAGGAGCAAUCCGCUUUGAGAUGGCCUCGCGUCCGAUUAGCUAGUUGGUGAGGUAACGGCCCACCAAGGCAACGAUCGGUAGCCGGACUGAGAGGUUGAACGGCCACAUUGGGACUGAGACACGGCCCAGACUCCUACGGGAGGCAGCAGUGGGGAAUAUUGCACAAUGGGGGGGAACCCCUGAUGCAGCGACGCCGCGUGGAGGAAGAAGGUCUUCGGAUUGUAAACUCCUGUUGUUUGGGGGAAAGGAUAAUGACGGUACCUGACUAAGAAGCACCGGCUAAAUACGUG